UACGUAGGGUGCAAGCGUUGUCCGGAAUUAUUGGGCGUAAAGAGCUCGUAGGCGGUUUGUCGCGUCUGCUGUGAAAACUCGGGGCUUAACUCCGGGCCUGCAGUGGGUACGGGCAGACUAGAGUCCGGCAGGGGAGACUGGAAUUCCUGGUGUAGCGGUGAAAUGCGCAGAUAUCAGGAGGAACACCGGUGGCGAAGGCGGGUCUCUGGGCCGGAACUGACGCUGAGGAGCGAAAGCGUGGGGAGCGAACAGG
rnacentral:rRNA from 1 species